CGGCCUCCUUGGGCGGCGGGACCCGGACGCAGCGGGGAUCCGGCGCCGCGGCCACGUGGGCGGGCGCCAGGCGGGGCGGCGGGAAACCAGCGAGGGCGCAAAGCCGUGAGUGCAAUCAGCUCUGGACUAGAGCCGUAGAAGCGUUCUCGUCGCGUGCCGCGUUUGAACCUUCGUCCCUUCCUAGAUUCUGACGGGUGAUCUAGAGCAGCUCCAGCCACUUGUGUCAUUGUGAUGCUUCUGGUAGCCUUAUCAGCGCCUGCAAAAAGAAGCAGGAAACCUUACAGACACACGAAGCCUUCAACCAUCUGGAACUCAGAAACUCGACUGGGGCCGACUGUGGCUUCUAGAACGUCCAGGUGUUCGGCAGAUGUGAGCGUCUAUCCCGUACUCGCCAGCUGGUGACCCAGACAGAGGCAAGACUCGUGCUGCGGCUCUCACACCCCUGAGCACAGAGGGGUCAUUUUCCAAGAGGCCUAGGAACAGGGUUGUUGACACUGGUGUCUGAUUAACCCACACGGCCAGUCACCUCCCGGAGCUGCAGGCGAGAGAGCCAAGUUCAGGGUUGCCAGUUUCCUGACCCUCUUGAAUUAGGAUUCCAGAUGGGGACCUCUCUUCGGUAGCCCCCACCAUCACCUAGAGCCAUCACCCCGCCACCACCACCACCAUCAUCAGAAGCACUUUCUCGCAAACCCAGCCCGGCUCUCCAUUGCAUUGAACCCCCUGCAUUGAACGGGAGCAGAAGGGAGCGCUCGGCCAGGUCUCUAGCCGUGGCCAAAAGCCAUCCCUGCCCACGAUCGGAAUCCUCCCCUUAUCACCAUGGCCGGGCUCUUCCUGAAGGUUUUCUUGGUGGGGGUGAGUUCCCUCGGAUGUCUUUAUCCUUUCAUGGAUUUUUGCUUCCGUGGGGAAACAAGAGGCCAGAAACCGAAUUUCGUGAUCAUUUUGGCAGAUGACAUGGGGUGGGGUGACCUGGGAGCAAACUGGGCGGAAACGAAGGACACCGCCAACCUUGAUAAGCUGGCCGCAGAAGGAAUGAGGUUUGUGGAUUUCCAUGCAGCUGCCUCCACCUGCUCGCCCUCCAGGGCCUCCCUGCUCACCGGCCGGCUGGGCCUUCGUAAUGGGGUCACUCACAACUUUGCAGUCACCUCCGUGGGGGGCCUUCCACUCAACGAGACCACCUUGGCCGAGGUGCUGCAGCGGGCCGGCUACAUCACCGGGAUGAUCGGCAAGUGGCAUCUUGGACACCACGGCUCUUUUCACCCCAACUUCCGCGGUUUUGACUACUACUUUGGGAUCCCGUAUAGCCAUGACAUGGGCUGCACCGACACCCCGGGCUAUAACUACCCUCCUUGUCCGGCGUGUCCGCGGCGCCAUCAACCAUCCAGGAACCUGGAGAGGGACUGUUACUCUGACGUGGCCCUUCCUCUGUAUGAAAACCUCAACAUCGUGGAGCAGCCCGUGAACCUGAGCGGCCUUGCACGGAAAUAUGCCGAGAAGGCGACCCAGUUCAUCCAGCAGGCACGUGCCAGCGGAAGACCCUUCCUGCUCUACGUGGGCCUGGCCCACAUGCAUGUACCCUUAUCCAGGCCCCAGCGCUCAGCUGGUCCGUGGGAUCGAAGGCCAUACGCUGCAGGACUCCGGGAGAUGGACAGGCUCGUGGGCCAGAUCAAGGACAAAGUUGACCGCACAGCAAAAAACAACACAUUCCUCUGGUUUACAGGAGACAAUGGCCCGUGGGCUCAGAAGUGUGAGCUGGCAGGGAGUGUGGGGCCCUUCCUUGGAUCGUGGCAGAGUCGUCAAGGUGGAAGUCCGGCCAAGCAGACCACCUGGGAAGGAGGGCACCGUGUCCCGGCUCUGGCUUACUGGCCUGGCAGAGUCCCCACCAAUGUCACCAGCACUGCUUUGUUAAGCGUGCUGGACAUCUUCCCCACCGUGGUGGCCCUGGCCGGGGCCAGCUUGCCCGGGGACCGACACUUUGACGGUCUGGAUGCCUCUGAGGUGCUGUUUGGCGGGGCGCCAGCUGGGCACAGGGUAAGCAGAGAAGGUAUGUGUCCUACGUGGGCUUUUCAGGAGGUUGGCCUGUCGCCUCUCAUUGGGGCCUGCCUGCCUUUGUGCAAACAGAACCAUCCUCAGGAGAUAUACGUGCUGCCGAAGAUGCAUUUUGACAACCCCCGAGGAGUGACUCCUUUGAGAUGAACCCCUCUUUCCACUCCCCCCCCUUUCUUCCCUAAUUAAUCCCCUGGCUCAACCCAGAUUCCCCCCCCCCCUUUUCUAUGGCCACAGCUGCAGCAUAUGGAAGUUCCUGGGCUAGGGGUCGAAUUGAAGCUGCAGCUACCAGCCUACACCACAGCCACAGCAACACAGGAUCCUUAACCUACUGAGCGGGGCCAGGGGUCGAACCUGCAUCCUCAUGGUUGCUAUGUCAGGUUCUUAUCCCACUGAGCCCCAACGGGAACUCCUCAAUCCAGAUUUAUAUGUAAUAGUCUGGCUUAGGGUGGCCGUGCAUUGGUGCUUAUUCCCUGUGACGAAUGAUUUUUUUUUUUUUUCUCACCACGAAUUAAUUUUCUGACAGGAUACAGGCACAUGGCACAUUUUUGUUGGAUGCGGUGCGUGACCAGGGCUUGUGGGUUGUGUAUGGUGGGGCUCCCCCGUCAGAAUGGAAAGCUUCCGAGGGCAGGGUUCUCGCCGUGGAAUUCUCAGUACAGGUGACACAGUGUCUGGCAUCCAGCCGGCAUGCAAUAAGCUCACAUUGAAUGAAUGAAUGCAUGAAGGAUGAAUGAAUGAAAGACCUCUUGCCCUUGACUUUUCCUGGCUCCUAGAGGGCUGAGCACACGCACGGCUCUCCAGCCCCCAGUGUCCCCUGCUUCCGUGUGCUCUGAAGCCUUCGGUGGCAGCGGCAGCCAGGAAGGGUCGGGCCUGAUGGCCUUUCCCUGUCUCUCUGUGUGUUUUACUUUUGCCAAAAGGAAGAGGAAGUGGGAGGAGGGAAGGAGGCCUGCGGAACCCGGAACCCCCUCUGGAAGGCCCGGUGAGCCCGGCUUCUCAGUUAGGGACCCACACAUCAAAGGGUCUAUUUCUGGCUUUACCGGGGGUCACAGGGAAGUGAGUCAAACGGACGGUGGCAGUUCCUGGAGCUGCCCUUCCCGGCAGCUGGCACACGGGUGCAGAGUGGGCCCCCUCGGAGGCUCUAGGGGUGGUCAGACGAUGCCCGGGGUGGCCCCCCGAGAAGGACUGCUCCUCCCGGCCUCUCGGACCCCCUCCGAGCUGCGGACCCCUCCAGGCAGAGCCCUGCUCCCGCACCCCAGCCAAGCAGGAAGGUGGUUUCCGCCCCUGGGCUGCGAGUGUGCAGUAUGUGACCCUGGGGGGUGACUGAGGACGUCAGCGGAGAGGUGCUCCCGAGUGUUUAUGACACGGCUGCUAAUAGAAUAAUUGGGGUCACCAGGAAGGGCUUCGGGGACUGCGGUCUCCUUGACGUUGUCCGGCCCCCGGUGGAAGCCAGCUCCUUGGCGCGGAACUUCCGCUUUCCGAGGCGAGAAGGCUCGCUCUCUUUCUCAAGUUGCCGCUUUCUGCAGACGCCUGGAGGCCCCUGCUUUGGGGCUUAACAGUUACUGGUCUAGGCCCCGAUGGGGUUGGGCCCGGGAACUGGGUACGAGAACCAGAGAGAAGCCACAAGGCCGUUUGGGGUUUUUGUGGGGAUGGAUGAUGGGUGGUGAUGCAGCUGGCCUCGGGCGGAUUCGCUCCCUAACCACACCCCGUGGCCCAGAAGGAAACAGCCGUGCUUACCACCUGCCAGAAGCUGCCGACGAGAUCUUCAAGAGAGAAAGCGCCUGGGUGCUGGCACCUGUGGCCGUGUCCAGCCUUGGAGAGUGCUAGACCCCUGUCAUGCAAAUGAAGAUGCUCGAGAGGCGGGCAUAGGUUGCCAGUGGCCCUGAAUUUGCCCUUGGUCUUUUCUGGUCAGCCCCAAAAGAGACGAGAGGAAAUCGAAUUUGAUGAAGGGGGGCCAGGGGGUAAAAAUAUGAGUGAUAACAGACACACACACCCAUACAUGUGUGUAUACAUACAUACGCACACGUAAGUCUUUAAUAAACACAACUCGUGUGUUCACUCUUGGCGACAUCCGGGGCUCGUGACAUUCUAACAAGGGUGGGUUUAGAAAACCAUUCCAGUUUCAAGAAACUCCAAGUAACUCCUCGAUCGUCAUCUCAGAACAAUAUGCAAAUACAUCUCAGCAACGGGGUUCUUCCCUCUUUUGCAAAUGAGUCACGGAAAGUGGAAGAGCUAAAGCAACCUGGGCCCCGGGUACCCUCUGGCAAAGCCUCACCGCCCCCACCCCAGGCCCCAUUGGGAGAGGUUUACAAGCAAAUAAUGGGCUACUGGGUUUCCUGCUGAAUGAUCUUCUCACCACCCCCUUCGUGGGCAGCUACAGCUGUGGGGUCUGCGACAUUCAAAACCAGUAGCCGCAGACACCAUGCUGCAAGUUCCUGCAUCUGCUUGGCCUUCUGCUGCCGACCUCGAGCAGUGAGAGAUACCGCAAGGAGGGACAGGGGAGCCGGGCGGGGGAGGGCACACAGCUUGGCACCAAGUAUCCUACUUUGUGCUUGUCUGGCUCCCAGAAGAAGGCGGAGAUUGUAAUGUCAAGUCCUCUCUCAGCCCCAGGUUGCCAUGGCCAAGUCUGAAAAUUGUCAGCCAAGGAAAGGCUUCCUUAAUGGCUCUGCAUCCAUCCAGCCCAAACCAGUCUGGGGCUACGUGGGUCUUACAAUGCUCGGUGCUGUUUCACCCCAACAGUGGGGCGGCCGGAGAGGAUGGAGCCCUUGAGACCGUGCGCCUGGAGCGGUACAAGGCCUUCUAUGUCACUGGUGGAGCCAAAGCCUGUGAUGGGAGUGUCGGCCCUGAGCAGCACCACGAGCCUCCCCUUAUCUUCAAUCUGGACGAUGAUGCUGCAGAAGCUGCCCCUCUGGAAAGGGGCAGUGCCGAGUACCAGCGGGUGUUGCCCAAGGUCAGAGAGGCUCUUAGAGGUGUCCUUCGGGACAUUGCGGACGACCACAUCUCCAGAGCUGAUUAUACGCGGGACCCCUCGGUCACUCCCUGCUGUAAUCCCCAGCGAACGGCCUGCCGCUGCCAGGCCGUAUAACAGAACUCUCAGGAGAUGAGCCAGGCCCGUUUACAUCUGAGCUGCAGUUUCCCCCUCUUCGCAGUGAUGCCUGCUUUUAUGAUAAGUCUCAGAAUUUUGUUCUGAGGCCACCAGUCUGUGUCCCCUGCUGUGCCUUCCGCAUGCUGGUUUGCGAGCACACUGCACCGAGCGGUAAGCAGAAGCACCUGGGCUUUGGGGUCAGACCAGGUUCAAGACCUAACUUUUGAAUGUGGGCAAUUAUUUAACCUAACUUGCAAGCUGAUUUUGAGGAUUAAACAGGCAGGACGUGAAAAUGCCUGCCUGGAACGUUACAUGACACAGAGCGGGCACUCAAUACAUUUUUUAAAAAAUUUU